AUGAUGGUGAGUAGGCCAGAGACCACCCAGCAGGCUCCGUGGCUGAGGGGGUGUCGACAGCAGCAGAGCAGAGGUGCCUUUUCCAAAGCUGACCUCGAAACCCCAGCCAUGACAUCGCUUGCCAAGAUGCCCACAUCUCUCUCGCUCCCUCCUUCCUUCCACUGGCUGAUUGAUUCUGCAGAGAACGUCUUUCUCACAGUUCGUUUGCACACAGACAGUCCUGCUCGUCCCAGGGUUGUGUUGAGCUGUGCCACUCUUGACCCCAAGGCUGUCCACUCCUCAUUCCUGCCCGGGCAGCACAAGUGCCUUUAGGUGAUGCUGCUGCAAUACCUUAUGAGUACUUAGCACCCACCAGGAGCAACAGCUGAUCACAGGCAGAUCACAGGUAGUGGUCUUCUGAGAAGGAACACGUGUUUCCCUGGUCAGCAGUGAAUUUUACCUUGGCCCAUCGGUGGGCCAAGGCACCGCCCAUCGAUUCUCCCCAAUGGCUUGCUACCCCUCUCCUUUUAUCUGGCAAGGGCUGGUGGCAGCCUUAAGGCAGCUGAGAUUUGGCCUGUGCCAUCCCUUCUGUCCAAUUAUUAGCUUAGGAAUUUUGUAAGGUACUAUUGUCAUGAAACAUGUUUGAUGUGGAAAGCCGACUGUUUGCUACAUGCACCCCCUCGGUUAAUUUCUCUCCUGCCAUGGGAACAGAUGCACCCAGGAGGCUUGAAAAAAUCAAGGAGGGUUGGCAAGACUAAACGUUAUGCCCAGUUUUUUGUAUGGGGGACUAGAAAUUCAGGAGCGCAGUGCUGGGUCAGAGCAAAGGCCCAGCCUGUCUUCCAGCCAGAUGUUUAGAAGAAGCGGGAGAUCAAUAGCCCCACCUGGAUUCUGACUCAUUUCAGAAAUUCACGGCUGCCAGCCGGUGCCUUAGAGGGCAUUAACAGAGAAUUAGGCACAUUGAUUUCAUUUCUGGAUUGCUACCCAUGACAGAACAUCCCAAAGACAUUAACUGUAGAAAUAGAUUUUAAAAAAUAGUUACAGUCAUACCUCUAGUAGCGUUAGGUUUACGUUGCGUUUUUUCUGGUUACGAAUGUGGCAAACCCGGAAGCGUUUACUUCCGGGUUCGCCGAUAUGCGCAGGAGCGAUCUGCGCGCUUUGCGCAUGCGCAGGAGCGAUUUGCAAACUUCGUGCAUGCGCAGGAGUGCUCUAUCACGUCAUGCGCAGAAGCGGUGCUCUACUUACGGACUUUUCGGUGUGUGAGCGGCACACCGGAACAGAUUGCGUCCGUAAGUAGAGAUACCACUGUAUACAGGUACAGACUGGGACAUGGAUACCCACUUAAAAGACUGGAGGGAGCAAAAAGGCAAUAGAGGCAGUGCCUGUGAGCAAUGAGGAUGUCUUAAUGUUGGCCUUUAGGCAUGACACUCUUUACUGGUUGUUGGGGGGAAAUCUAGAAGACGAGGGCUAUUCCCUCCACAUCUUGCUUGUGGGCUUCCCAUUUGAGGCAUCUGGUUGGCCACUGUGAGAACAGGAGUCAUGGGCCUCAUCCGGCAGCCAGGCUCUUUUGACACACUCAGUUUUUUUAGGGUCCCUCCAGCCUGGUGUUGUGGGCUUGCUUUUGCUUUUCUUCCACAGCAACUCCUUGACGCAGGAUCAGUGCAAUAUUGCGGGUUGUCCCCAGAUCAGUCCGCUUCAUUAGUUGUUCUGAGACGCUUUCCCUGCGUUGCCGCAUUAUUGCUUUCUGGAUGGACGCUCCUGCCCUGUAGCACGACGAAGGAGGGAUGUUAGAAAAACCCUGCAAGAUCAGUGGUAUGAAAAGUUAGCAGGAAGUUGUGGGAUCUGCACUAACUGGAAAUUUGAGCUUAAGUUUCAGUCAUGUCUGUUGCUGGUUGAUUUCACUUUUUUUUUUACAAAAAAUGACGAUUUAUUGAUUUUCCAAAGAUAACACACACAAAAAUAAAAGCAACAACACUACAAAAGACAAAACGAAACAGAAGUAAUUGACUUCCCUCUAGUCCCUUCCUUGGUUCCGUUACUUAUCAAUGUAGCGCAUGUCUAUUGUCCAGUUUGAAACCUGUUUAAAUUACUCAUUAUCCAUUCAUAACAAAAUUACAUGUAAUUUUAAAACCCUGCUAAUGUAUUAACCUGUGUGCAAUGCUUCUCUAUAUAUGCAAUAAACAUUUCCCAUUCUUCUUUAAAUUCAUUUAUGUCUCUUCCUCUUCGUUUCAUUGUCAGUUUUGCCAUUUCAGCAUAUUCCAUUGUUUUAACUGCUGAGUUGCUGAGGUCUGUCACGCAACUGCGCUAACUCUGCGGAUCCCUAAGUGUGCCAGUGUCAGUUGGCAUCAGUCACUGUAAUGUUCGGGCAUGUGUCUCUGCCAGGGUCCUACUCGAGUGUAGGCUGAACUCCUGAUGGGGGCUCUGUAGAGGGGGUGCCCCAUCUCAGGCUGCAGAUGAGCAGAAACGGGACAAAUUCAUGGUGGAUCAAGCUAUCAGCAUCUCCUAGCCAAGACGUCUCUGCUCUGCCUCCAUGGUUGCUUCCCAAUCCCAGCUGCUGGAAGCCCCAGGAGCGGGGAGAGUUGCUCUUGUGCUCUGGUCAUGCUUGCAAGAUUCACAUAAUGGGCAUCUGUUUGGCCCCUGUGAGAAGAAGAUGCUGGACUAGAUCAGCCACUGAUUAAGAGAGCCAGUGUGGUGUAGUGGUUAAGAGCGGUAGACUCGC
rnacentral:lncRNA from 1 species